rnacentral:rRNA from 1 species
AUUGAACGCUGGCGGCAUGCCUUACACAUGCAAGUCGAACGGCAGCACGGGAGCAAUCCUGGUGGCGAGUGGCGAACGGGUGAGUAAUACAUCGGAACGUGCCCAGUAGUGGGGGAUAGCCCGGCGAAAGCCGGAUUAAUACCGCAUGAGACCUGAGGGUGAAAGCGGGGGAUCGCAAGACCUCGCGCUAUUGGAGCGGCCGAUGUCAGAUUAGCUAGUUGGUAGGGUAAAGGCCUACCAAGGCAACGAUCUGUAGUUGGUCUGAGAGGACGACCAGCCACACUGGGACUGAGACACGGCCCAGACUCCUACGGGAGGCAGCAGUGGGGAAUUUUGGACAAUGGGCGCAAGCCUGAUCCAGCAAUGCCGCGUGCAGGAAGAAGGCCUUCGGGUUGUAAACUGCUUUUGUCAGGGAAGAAAUCUUCUGGGCUAAUACCCUGGGAGGAUGACGGUACCUGAAGAAUAAGCACCGGCUAACUACGUGCCAGCCGCCGCAGUAACAC